AAUAGAUACCCCGGUAGUCCAUGCCGUAAACGAUGAGUGCUAAGUGUUAGGGGUUUCCGCCCCUUAGUGCUGCAGCUAACGCAUUAAGCACUCCGCCUGGGGAGUACGACCGCAAGGUUGAAACUCAAAGGAAUUGACGGGGGCCCGCACAAGCGGUGGAGCAUGUGGUUUAAUUCGAAGCAACGCGAAGAACCUUACCAGGUCUUGACAUCCCAAUGACCGCUCUAGAGAUAGAGUUUUCCCUUCGGGGACAUUGGUGACAGGUGGUGCAUGGUUGCCGUCAGCUCGUGUCGUGAGAUGUUGGGUUAAGUCCCGCAACGAGCGCAACCCUUAAUCUUAGUUGCCAUCAUUUAGUUGGGCACUCUAAGGUGACUGCCGGUGAUAAACCGGAGGAAGGUGGGGAUGACGUCAAAUCAUCAUGCCCCUUAUGACCUGGGCUACACACGUGCUACAAUGGACGGUACAAAGAGUCGCUAACUCGCGAGAGUAUGCUAAUCUCAUAAAACCGUUCUCAGUUCGGAUUGUAGGCUGCAACUCG
rnacentral:rRNA from 1 species